CUUUUCCAGAUUAGCACACCCUUCUAUUCUCAAUUUUUUAAGAUUGCAAGGCAGCCAUUGCUCCUCCCACAAACAUGUCAGCCCAUCACAAUUGCAUAUCUUCAAUUCUUGCAAGGCUACCAAGGAUCUAGUAAUUCCGGUCCUCAAACAUGUCAAUCUUGAAAUCUCGAUGAGAUUUACAGUAACGAGGGAUGGAAGAUCAAACUGAGCACCUCCCAAUACUGCCUCAUCACAUUCUUUUAAAUUUAAUUCACGGAGAGAGAGAUGCAAGUUUUGGAAGCCCACACAUCAAUCCCGGACAUUCUGACACUUCAAGCUCUACUAGGGACUGCAGGCAUUUCGGUAAUUCCCCAAUCAGUUUUGGACAUUCCCUUAUCAAAAACUUUUCAAGAUGGGGAAAUGUUCCCACAUCUUCCUUGAUGAAAUUAGAAUGAGACCAAUUUUCCCAUUCUGGCAUAUCCUCAAACCUCAACUCCUUCAAAGAUGCAAAAGGAUUCAUACUCUCUCCAUAAAAUUCAGCACCUAUGCUUUUAACUUGGCUCAUACCUUCAAUACACAAAACCUUGAGCACCGAUAGUCCACCCAGAUUUGGUAAUAACACGGAUUUUUUGCAAUUUUUGAGAGUUAGUUCCACCAUUACUGAGAAUGAGGGAUAUCCUAACCAACUUGGAAAUUUGGAUCCACCAUAAAAUGCAAUUGUGAGCCUUCUUAAAUUUUCACGAGGCUGCAGGGACUCCAAGACACGUAAUUCACGUUUAUCGUUUCGUGCAUCCCAACAACAAUAACGACUCCACUCCAUGGUCAACAAGACACGCAAUUUUUACUUAAGAAAACUAACUUGUUAAGUCUUAGGAAAAUCAAAUUUUAAUUUUGAUUUUGAACCUCACGUUGAUUUUGAUUAGUUUUAUGGGGCUCACCAAUUUGUGGGAAUGUGAGGCAUUUAAUAAAAUACUCUCCAACUUGUUGGUAUCAGCAUGGAGUUGUUGGGAGUGGUGAGGGCCCAGACAGGGUGUAAAAGAUGAAUUUGCGUGUAAAAGAUGAAUUUGCAUUGUUGUUAGUGGACGUAUAUGUGGUGUUUAAAAUAAGAGAAAAGAAACGAAAAUGGUUUUUGUAAUACAAAUUGUACACUAGAAUAUCCAUGUUAUUAUUUAAUAACAUUGCUUGAAAUUUUUCAUAAGUCAUCAUAUAGUGGAUUUCCUUCUCCUCUCUGCUCAUGAUUUUUUCUAUUUAAGGUUUUUCACAUAAAUUUAUAUCUUUUUAUUCUAUUUUUUUUUCAUAUUGCCUAUUUUUGUUUUUCCAUGGUAGUAUUAAUAUUAAAUAAUUUCAAACUAUAUAAAUUUCAAACUAAUUUUAAUUAUAUUUUAUUUUCUUUCAUAUUUUUCAUAGUAAAACUAAACAUAAGAAAACUAUUUUUCUUAGUAUUUUUUCCUUAAUACUUUCUAGGAACCAAACAUAAUAAUAACCUUAUUUAAGUGCUUUUCUAUUUCACAACUAAUUGACACUGACUUUUGGGUGUAAAUGUCGUCUAGUCCAUCGCUCAAGCAUCAGGUGUGAUUAAUCAUUUGUUCAAUGCCCGAAAACUUCGAUUGGGUUGAUUUGUUUGUCUAAAAGUCCUAGUCAGCUUGGUCUGUUCAUUCCAUCUGGCAUUGUAGAAGAAGGAAAUCUUCUCACCUCUUACACCAGACGGAGCUUAUCUUGGCCCAAAUAAAGUGAUCCUAGACAGAUUAUCUACUUACCUUGGCCGACCAAAGGGUCUUAAGUUUGGGGAGGCCACGUGGAGGCAAGCGCUCCCUACAAUGCCCUCUAAUUUGUUUGCUAUGCUCGAUCGGGUAGCUGACUGGUUGAGGUAGGACGAAUUAUCUGUUUUUUCAAGUUUUUGGGCACCAAGGAAUGCGUGUCAUUUAGGGUUUUAAUAAUGUGUCACAUCAAUCAAGGCUAGUUGUUCAACGGUGUGUCUCUUUAUUUGGCUUUGGAAAGCAUUGCCAGGCGACAUGUCCCUUGGAGUGCCUAGGUUUUUUGUUCCCUAUAAAUAGUAAAGCUCCACACUUUUGGGUCACCUUUUCACUUUCUCCCGUUUCAGAGUUCUCUUGCCUGUGCUGCUCUUUCCCUGCCAUUGGUCUUGCCACCAGCUAUUCUUUUUUGCUUUCAUCACCGUUGUCAACUGGUUUGCCACCGUAGGAACUCUUAUUCGCUAGAGAGCGUCUUCAGUUUUGGUUUUGGUAAGUUUUCUACCGUCUGUUCGUUCCUUUGUUGUGUUUGCAAUUGUUCCUUGGGUUGUAUUAUUCUUGUUUGUUUAGAGAGAAAAUGGACAUACCGAUGUCCAGAUUCUAGAUUUUUCUUUUUGUGUUUUCUUGAUCGUUCUUGUUGCUUAUUUGGGGGAGGAAACAGGUGUACCGAUAUCCAAAUCUAAGGUUUUUCAGUGUCCCCGCUUGCUUCUAUGUCGUCAUUGUGUUUAUGUCAUCGGUUCAUGCUUUUUUGUUGUCAUCACGUUGGGGCGAUGGGCAUGACUCUUCCUUUAUCAUUGGCCAAGAGACUUGCUUUGCAAGUUUCGAUAGCCAAAUUCGUCUAGGUUCGGACUAUGGUCUGUCUAGGCACAUUUUUGUAUUGUUGAAGCAACGCUGAAAGGCGGAUUGGCCAACGCAGGUUUCUAUAUGACCCAAAUCCACUUAGUCUAAUGGAAUAAGGGGAAGUUGUUUCUACCAGCGGAAGGCCUCAACAAAGUGGACAGAAAAAUACUAGAGUCGGGCACCUUAGACCGAACCGUCCAGUUGCUGUCUUAUCCAAGCAAAAAUUUCAAGCUCGUUUUCACAUUAUGGACACUAUCUUAAUUCAGUUAACUAAUGGUGAGGCUCUAUUCUCUGCUAACCUUCCGAACUACAUGAUGUAUUUCACCAAGGAGUGGUUUGCUAAUGGGCUUUGUUUACCCAUUCCUUCCUUCUUCAAACAAUACCUUCAUUUCACGCAAAUCCUCCCAACUUUUCUUCAUCCGAAUAUUGUCCGAUUAUUGAUAGGGUGUAGCGUGUUGGAUAUGCUCUUCCAAUUGGAUCUUUCCCUAUUGGAAGUCUCGUUCAUCUAUACUCUGAAAAUGAGCCAAAAUGAAAGGUUCAGCUUAUCCGCCCAUAUUUCUUCCCUCCAACUAGUGAUUGGUAUUCCAAAUUCAUGUAAAGGCUAGGUCAAGGAGCAUGUUUUGGUGUCUGAGCCUUAGAGUGGUUCAUAUGAUGGUCCAGACAGAGUUUUUUCUCCACAACGUUCGUUGAAGAUUCCGAGUAAGCUAUGCUUUUGUCACUUUCUUUAUACCUUGCUAUUAUUUCCUCUUUUUUGUGAAUCUACUCACGAUCUUUCUGUUCGUCUAAUGCAGGUAAGGAGAGGCAGGAACACAUUGUAAAGUGGGUGGAAAAGGCUUCAUUUGCCCAUCUAAACAAGUUGUUCGAAAUAGACGUUGUUGAAUGGGCUUACAAAGUUCUCGUCUUGGACAAAAACCUUUUGGCACUGAUUGGCAGUCCUAAGUCGUUUAUCAUUCUUAUGUUUCCCUGGCUAACCCCUUCGUCUCUGGUGCUUGGUGAACACUUCGUGCUAAAGGAUUUGCCUUUCUACGAAGUUGCUCGUUUGGCAGAUUCUGAGGCACGCUAGGCUCGUUAAGAGGAACGGGAGAAAAAACGCCAAGAAGGGACAUUGAGGCAAGUGCCAGUUGCUAGACGUUCGUUUUCCAACUCCGUUGUCCGUCCACCUGCUUAGAAAAAGAAAAAGACUAUGGCUCGUCCUAUUCAAAAGGCGAGGACUCCACCUCCUGUCUCCCCAUAUUCAUCGUCAGCUUCAUCUUCUUCUUCCUCUAUGUCUUCUUCAUCUUCUAGAAACAAACCAGAAGCAGGGGUUAUGCAACCUAUGCCUCCUAUUAUUUGUGAAGAAGAGGAAGAGAAGGAGGACAUGGCUUCCAACUUGAGGACCAGAUUCCACAAGAGGCACCGUAAGCGUCUGUCCGAAUCCAUUACUGUCAUUCCUUCUCUUUCGAAGAAAGCCUGCCUGGAACCUACCCUAAAUCCUCCGUCCAAGUCAACAUUGUUGACCACUACUGUAGUUGUCACUUCAAAAUCGAAUAAGAAAUCUCCCUUUGUUGAAUGCUGAAUAUGGAGUAUUAUAUUGUUGUCCCAAUGCAUCACCACCAGUCACCAUUUGAACUCCAGGGGUUGCAUGGAUGAAUGCUGGAUUUCCUGGCCCCCCUUGCCAUGAUGCCGGAUUAACUGAAAUGAAACCAAUCACAAAAUUUGAAUGAUCCUCAGCAAUUUUUGCUGCUGCAGUUGUGUAGUCUCCCUUGGCAAGGUUACCAGAAGAACUCAUUUCUGCAACAAGCAACAGGCCCCUACCACGAGGCAAACCCUACAAACAUUGCAAGAGUAAUAAGAAAUUAGAGAAACAAUAGUUCUAAGGCUUUUCUACAAGUCCAGACUAAUAUUAGGUUAAACUAUUAAUGCAAACCUUCAGUUUCAGACCAUCCACAAUUCCAGGACCAGAGAUUAUGUGAGCAUUAACUAUAUCUGCCCAGUCCAAUAUCCGAAAGAUACCUCUGCAAAUAGUAGUGCCAAGAGCUGUUAAGAAAAUGUAAGAAAAGCAACAGAAAAAGAAAUUAAGACAUACCAGAUGCAAGAAAAGUGAGACUCACCCUUCAUACUGCAUGGUCACUGUGUUACCAAUGUCAGCAAACUUACGAUCUUCAAAGAUUAAGAAGUUAUAUCUCUCUGCAAUCUUCAAAAGGAUUAAACAUAGAAUCAACAAUAACUUAACAAUAACUACAAUAAGACUACCCAAUAAGCUAAUGACAAAACUCAAAACUUUGGAACUGCUAUUGCAUAAGGAACAUUGAUGCCUGACAAUUCAAAGACAAGGAAAGCAAAUAGAGAAUAUCUAUGCUUACAGGCCUAUUCUUUCUAUCAGAGCCUUUUUUUUUUUUUGGUUUUGUUUUAGGUAAAUCUUUGUCCCUACUAGGACUUGAACCUAGCACCUCCCACAAACCCUCCCCAUCCCUUUACCACUUGGGCCAGGCCUCAAGGGCUUCUUUUUAUCAAAGCUUAUAAGCCUAAUUUAAUUCCAAAAGAGAUGAUACAAUAAAAAUAAUGAAAAUUUCCCCUAAAUAAUGCUAUAUGGCCUAUGGGAAACAGAGAAAGAAAGCUUUUCCAUGUUAACCAUUUUAACAAUAUAUGAAAACAAAGAAGAUUUCCAAAUGCUACAUCCCAUUAACUAAAAAGAUAAAUCAUUUCUCUCUCUAUUUGCUACUUUAUACAUGUCAAGCUACAUGGCUUCCAUAAGAAGACAUGAAAAUGGAUAUUAUUUAGCAAAUUUAUUAUGGUAAAGAAAGAUUGAGUUUAAUUGAGAACAAUAUGAGUUAAGAGGUAAACUGGUAAAGAGAGGUCUAUAGUGAUCUUAUGUUUUCAGAACCUAUCAUCCAAACUGAAUGUGGAAGCUAUAACUUUUAACAUAUUUUCAGGUUGAGAGUGGGAAAAUGUCAAGGAGGCAAUGGUGGACUGUGGAAAGUGAUCAAGAGAUGAGGUUCGCAAUUGUGCAUCGUUUCGGUAUCUUGUUUUAUGAUGAUGUUCUGAGAUAUAAUUCAUAAGGGUACUAUAAAGCACUUUCAGACUUUUCAGAAAACUGAACCUUCUCCAUUUUUAUGAUUAUAGGGCAGGAAGAAAAGUUUUCAGGGUGAAUUAUUGCAUUGACAUUUUUUUUAAUUAGUUGCCAUUAUAUAAAUGGGUCACCCACCUCAACCCCAUUUCUUGUGCCCUUAAUCUAUUUGAUUAAUCACUGACAAAAAAAAUUUCAUUGCCACCAAAUUUAUGUGCAUGUGCGUGUGCAUGUUAGGAAUAUAUAUAGAUCACCAAUCCAAUAAAAGAAUAUACAUACAUACACACAUACAUGUAUAUAUAUAUAUAUUCAGGGCAGGUCUCCUGUACCAUUGAAUUUCAAUGAUGCCAUAAUGUAGCCCAUCAUUCAAAAUGGGGCCAUUAAAGAAAUGUGAGGCAUCAACAGCAUUGCUGGUAUAGGAUUGAUUAGUAGGAUUCCACAAAAUGGCGUCAAUUCAAACCUUUACCAUCAUUAGUGAUAUUUGGACCCCCUUUAAAAUGGGGGGCAAUUUAGUUCUUCAAGUUUUAUGCGAAGCGCAAUAGAACAGUCCAAUGCAAUGUGGAAAAAUUUUGCUCACUACAUGCAGUAGAUAAUCUGUGCAUGCUACAACUAUCCAUAAUGCAAAGAAACAGAGUGCUCAUCUUGUACAAGGCAAACUCAUUCCAAACAGUAAAAUAUUCAAAAAGAGAAAACAAUAAAAACCUGGUCAAAGGAAACUUAAAGUAUAUCCAUACCGAUCGAAGUUUGGAACCAAAAUCGGGGGUGAAAUCCGGGAAUAUGUCUACAUGGGUUUUCAAUAAGCAGAUCUCUGGCCCAACCUGCAAGAAUAUCCAAGGCAGCAUCAGCAACAACAGGUAACUUUUAGCCUAGUAGAUUCUACAUUUCUUUUCAAAUAUUCUCCUCACCAAAAUGCUGUACUAUGUUGUGAACUAAACAUUACAAUUUUAACUUGAAAAUUUUAUUUGAGGAUUUUCUCCUAUUUCACAAUAUUAACUUGAAGAUAACAACAUGAGCCACAAAAAAUGGAAACUCAAUCUUCUAAUUUCAAUGUCAAUGCCACAGCAGGUGUUCCGCCAAUCUUAAAUUCACAUUUUCAGGAAGAUCCAACUGAAAUCAACAUGUCAUAGGCUUGAACAUCAAAAGCCAAGGGCAGGCUGAAACGAUAUUUUGGACAAGAAAUUCACGUCCAAUGUAGGCUCGAAUACCAAAAUCUGGGCCAAGCCGAAAAACUGGUUGGGCCUAAAACUUUAUGGCCAACCAGGCUGAGCCCAAAAAUAGUUCAGGCAUCUUUUGGGCACUCUGAUCAAACACAGCUCAAAAGCAAGUGGGACCAAUCUGGGGAGAGUGGCUCCAGAGCAGAUGCUUAUACUAUGAUCAGAGCAUGUCACGGCCCCAGUAGAAUUAACAUUUCCCCCUACUACACAUCUCAAAACCUAAGGGAAUGAUAAAAUACCCAAUACCUUGCCUAAAGAUAUUCUUAUAUUCAAAUACCUAAGCCACGUGAAAAGGUGAAAAAUAUAAAUUAAUUUCUCAUUUUCUCUGUUUGGUUGCUGAGAAAAUACAAUAAAAGAACAGGAAAGACUCAUCUCUUAAUGAUUUGGGACCUCAAAGCACUCCAAUCUUCUAUCACCUAAGCUUGAUUCAACUUCAGAUUUUUUCACUUCAAGCCAAACAAAUAAUGCUUGUUUGAAGAUUUUACCAAGAAACCAAAAAACAUUAAAAAAAAUUAAAAAAGAACAAAAUUUUGUGUAGCCGAACUUGACGGCAGAAAUUUCAUGGAGCUUCAGGAUGAGAGACUCCAUUGAUGAUGAUGCUGCCGAGCUUGUCAUCCCUUCACCCUCUUCAAUCGCCUGUGAGGAGAAGAAAGACUCAUGUUUGGUGUAGCCUUUAAAGCACCGAGGGCAUCCAAAUUUUGUGAAUAUUUUAUAUAUCUAUCAAAAAUUAAAUUAUUAUUUUAUCUGAAAAAAAAAUUAUUCCAAAAUUUCUAAAAUAAAUAUUUAAAUUAUUUUAUUUUUUAUCAAGAAAUAUUAUAAAAUAUAAAAAUAUUUUCUGUUCUUCAUAUUUAACUUUGGUUUGUCUCUUUUUAGUUAAUUAAUUUUUUAGCUUAAUUGUUAAAAAUUAAAAAAAAUUUCAAAUCUUCUCCAUGGAAGAUAAGAAAUUUAUUUAUUUAUAUUAAUCAAUUUAAUUUAAAUCAUCAUUAAUAUUUUAAUAAUUAAAUAUUAUAUAAUUUAAUCUUUUUAUUUUUAUAAGUAAAGUUACGUAUCAAAAAUUUAAAUAAGUCUAUAACUUAGAUAGAUUGGUCAAAUUGAUGGAUAACUCGAGUCUAACUCGAAUUACAAAACAAUUAAUUCAAAUCCAACUUAACCCAACCUAAUCGCUAUCUCAAGGUAUUCAAUGUAAGCCCACCUCAAUUUUAUUUUUCUAAAUUUGGAUUGAAUUCGGAUUUGUUAAAUUAAACCCGAGUCAGUUGGAUUGAUUGGAUUACAUGUUUCAAAAUCUACUUAUAGUGAUUUUUAAAAAACAUUUAUAUAUAUAUAUAUAUAUAAAUUUAGAUAUUAAAUAAGACAAAAUUUUUAAAUAACAAUAAAAAAAAUAAAUUAAAUUAACUUGUAUAUCUUUCUAAAAAAUUGAAAAAGUAUAUGAAUAUAAUUAUAACUUGAUAUCUUUAAAAUUUAAAGAUAAUAGGCAUUAUAAAUAUAAUAAAAAAAAAUAAAUUGGAUUAAGUUCAGGUUAUUUGAAUCUUGACUUGAGCCUAACCUAAAUUGAAAUUGGGUUGAAAAAACUUAACCCGAGUUUAACCUUGAUAUUUGUCUAAACUCACUUAAACAUUGAGUUGGACCAUAUCAACCCACCCAAAUUCCACCUAAGGUGAAUUUAUCACAUCAAUUUAACUUAAUCACUUUUAAGUUUGUAUUAAAGUUUAGUGGUUUGAGAAGUAUUUUAUAAAAAAUGAUAUCUAUUAAAUAGUAUUUGAAAAUCACUUUUAAGCCAUUUUCAAGAUUUUAAAAAGCAUUCCAAGUCUUUCCGAACCACUCCUCAAUUUUUCUACUAUAGAGUGUGGGUUCAAAGUGACUUUUAUGGCUAUCAAAAUAUCCUAUGAAAAUCAUGUUUUAAAUAAAUAUUCAAAAUAAUAACAAAUUUAUUAGAAAUUAUAUUUUGAAACUUCGAAUUUAACACAAUGGAUUAAUUGCUUUGUUUGGAAAUUGUAAUUUAAAAUUAGAACUUUAAUAUAAAAAUAGUGUUUUAAAAAUAAUAUUUAAAAAUUUUUAUUUUUAAUUUGAAUUUUUUAAUUAUGAUUUAAAAUUAAUUAAAAAAAAUGUUACUUGCAUUUUUAGGGUAUUCGCUAACAAAGUCUAUCCACUUUCAAGGGUAAGGCUUUCUAGUGGCCACUUCAAUGGAGGAUUGCAUUUUCUUUUGAGAUUUACUCAUAUUCAACAUUUCAUACAUUUUUCUUUAAAUAUUCUAUAUAAAAUGGAAAACUCUAUAAAUUUUAGUUUAAAAUUUAAUAAUUUUUAAAAAUAGUUUAAAACAAAUUAAAGUAUUAAAAAAAUUUAUUACCUAAAUCUUAAAAAAAAAUUAAAUAUAAUUUUUAAAGUCAUAAGGUGAGUUACAAUAAGAGCUAUUUUAUAUUAUAUUGAAGUUAUUAUUAUUUUUAUUUUAAAAAUAAAAAAUAGGAAAUAUAUUGGUUUUUUAUUAUAUUUUUGAGGAUAAGUGUGUUUAUUUAAUUUUUCAAAAAGAGAAAAAUGAAAACCGAAGUUAAGGGAAAUGUCAUUAGGAAAAUUGUGUUUCAUUCACUUAGAAAAAAAGAUUAAAAUUUUUAUAAAAAUAAUUCAAGUUUUAUGUACUCAUCGGUCAAAUGUAAUAUUUAAGAUGAUCAAAUGUAGUAAUUAUUUCUUUAAAAUAUUGUAUCUAGUUAAAAGUAAUAGCUUUGAUCGAAAAAUGUACAAAAUCUUAAUUAUUUUUACACACAUGUAUGAAUUUUGAAUUUUAUAAAGUUAAGUUCUUAAUUAUGAUUUUUCUAAAAUAAGUGUGACUUUGAUGAUGAUGGCUUUUGACCAUGUAGUUGACACUAUGUGCAAAGCAAAUAAUUCAAUAUACAUGGAAUUUUCUCACAAGGUCAUGUUGUUGAAUGUCAAAGAUGUAGGCAAUGCUGAGACAGAAUUCCUCAUUUCUCCUUAAAAACACCUCUGUCUUAGGAUUUCAACCAUUGGGUGUUGAAUGUCACCCAGGUAUGUGGUGAAGAAACUUACACAUUCGCUAUAUUUAUGAGAAGACAUCAUAAUGGUCAAUUCUUACAUAGAAUUGGGGCGUUUCCAGGUUGUGACACCUUCCAACAACAAGUGAUGUUAGGUUGGGGGGCAAAUCCCCAUAUCCUUAGCCCUUUAAGAGAUUUGAGGCUUCUCAUUUGGAAUGGCAGGGAUUUCAGAUUCUCACAACUGUUAAUUUGAAGUUGUGGGAGGUUGGUUCUCAUAUCCUUGGGUUUGAUACACCUCAUUUCUAAAUUAACAUAUAAAUAAAAUAUAUAUUUUUUAAUUUUUCUUUCCAAACAAGAAAAAAGAAAAGAAAACCUAUUUUACAUCUUGACUAAUCUAACCUCAAAUUAAUUUCAUGACAUUACACCUUUUUUAAGUUAAUCAUUAUAAGUGAUUUCGUUUACAUAUUUUAAUUACAAAAUUUGUUUGAAGUACAAUAUUGUACAAAGUAAAUGUGGAAAAAAAAAGCCUUAAAAAACAUAUUAAGUGACUUCUGUCCAAAGAAAAAGAAAAAAUAUUAAAAAAAAAAGAAAGAAGAUGUUUUCAUGCCUUAUUUUAUUAUAUAACAUAUGAAAGAAAUCAAAUAAAAUUAAAAUUAGUUAAGAAUUUAUAUAUUUUUAAAUUAUUUAAUCUUUAUAUAUAAAAAUUAAAAUAAGUUAAAUGAGUUGAAGUAGCGUUUUUAUUUUUAUUUUAUUUUAUUUUAAAUGAGUUGAAGUCAAACAAAGCCUAAAAGUUUAAGAAUACCAAGAGCUAACAUGAGAGGUGGAAUUGACUAAUUCAAAAUUAUUUUGGCUUGAUCGAUAGAACCCUUGUUUAUUUGGGGAAGUUUCUUCCUCUAUAGAAUUUUGCAAAUCAAGCACAUUCAUAUCAGUCCCUUCAUUUUGCAUAUCUUCAAAAUCACUUUGUCAUUCCAUCAUUAACUCUUCAAUGUUCUCCUUUCUCUUUAAAUUAGCAUCCAUCAAUCAGAUAUCGUCUACUUUAUUAAAAUAUUUAGGCUCCAUUUCUUGCAUGACGUUCCAAGGAGGCUAGGGACUCCAUCAUCCGGAUUCCAAGAGAGGUGAGAGAUGUAAGAAGAAGACACUCAUCAUUUGAAAGGAAACCAUUUAUGAGAGAACAUCUCGAAUACGCAAUGACGAAAUAAGCUUGGGACUUACGUGUUAACACAAAAAACAUUUUAUAUCAUUUUUUUAUACAUUAUUUUCUCUCACUAGCAUAAGUAACUUAAGAAGCACUAAAAAGACAGCUAUAUUUUGGGUUAAGCUUCCAAUUGUGUUGAUUGCUGGAGUUGAAGUUCUGGUUGCACUUAGACAUGUACGUUUAUGGUUUCAUUUUAAGUUGUGUCAUCACCCCUUCAUCCUCUAAGACAGAAAAGUUUGACACAAGAAAUGGACAUUUGUGAAAGUAAUGAAAUUAAAGGUACACCAAGAUUUACGUGGAAAACCCUCCAAUGAUGAGGGAAAAACCACGGGCCGAUAUAGAAAUAAUCCACUAUGGUAAAAAGGAAAUUACAAUAUUCUCACAAAUUUCUUUUUAAAAAGAAAGGAAAAAAAACUUGAGGUAUUACAACUUUUAAGGAAAUAAAAAUGUUCAAAUCACCAUACUAGAAAACCAAAUCCUACAAAAACAUCUGCUACUAAUGUUUAAGGAGAAAACAAACUUCACAUUUCUUACAUUCUACACUAAGCACCGAAACCAAAGACGGUUGAUUUUUCUUGAGCCACUACAAAUGUAAAAGCACAACAUUGACGUCCUUAAGUUGAGUUCUUCUUGGAGAGCCAUAAGCGUCAAAAUUCCUUUCAUUUUUAUGCCAUCAACUAGCAGAAAAGUCAUUGCAUGGCAAAUCCAUCAAGCUUCUACCACCUACCACCUUAUAUUCAGGAAGUACCCAAAAAAAAGGAAAAAAGGGUUAGCCCAACUUAAUAGAAUAUGGCUAACCCAAGCAUUGCAAAUGUGAUCAUUGCCCCCAAUGUGAAAUGCUUGUCAACACUCACAUAUACACAAACAAUGAACUAUAAAAGUGCUCAUUGAAAUUCUAAUUAAGAAACACUUGAGCUGGUGGUACAAAUACAAUGGCAUGAAAAUAUGACUUACACAACAAAGAAACCUACGAAUUCUACUCAACAAACAAAAAGGAAAACCAUCAACUAUGAUUGAGUCAAUAAUAUACCGUCAUACUUUUGUUAGGAACUUAGUCUGCCACUGCAUCAUUUUUCUCCCGCCUACAUGUAGAAAAUAAGUUUCUAUUAAUUAUAGAUGCGAAACCCCAUAUUUAGACCAAGAAAAAACAGACUUAAGCAUCUGUGGUUAGUCAAGCAUACCUAGCUACAGGAAAGAAUGGUCUAUCUCUCAACUUCUACUGUAGGAAUAACACAAUUCAAUAUAAAUUCAUAUUUCCAAUGAGGUCAUGUUGUUGAAUGUUGGAGAUGUAGGCAAUGCUGAUCCAAAUUUUCUCCUUUCUCCUUUAAGCAAUUUUGUCUCACAAUAGGAGAAUUCUGGAUUUCAAGCACUAGCUGUUGCAUUCAGCUCUUCCUUCAACAAAAAAUACCAAAGCUUAGGACAACUUGAGAUCAAUAGCACUUGAAGAAACUUUCAGCAAAAAUUAAGCUUACCUGAAGUUAGAGGAACAAGCAGAAUGAAUGUUUUAUCCGUAAAGGCCUGGUGCACCAGUGCCACUCAUGGAGAGGCGUCUCAAGCUUCCCACAAUUGAACCUAAACUAAACAAUGGGGCCGGCCAAACCCCCUUCCAGAAAUUACAAAACACCUGAACAAUCAAGGAUCAACCUUGACACUGGAUGUAAAAAUGGAAAAGAAAAAAAUUAAUGAACAAAAGUAAAAUAUUUAAAAAAAAUAAAAAAGAAAAAUGGAAAAAUGUCGAGUUGCGAUGAGUUUUGAAAUGCACUAUGUCUUUCUACAUGUGCAGAAAAAUUAGGGAGUUAAGAUUAUUAUUAUGAUGUUAAUGGAAUUAUGGGAGUAGCUUAAUAAUAGGUGGGUCUCUGCUUCCAUUUUUGUGAUUGAAAAAUAAAAUCUAAUUUGAAAUUGAUUCAUGUGUUAAAAGCCUAUCUAUUUCCUUCUACAUAGGGAUGUGAAAAUCUUAGCCCAAUCAUAUUUACAUGUUAAUUUAAAUAUUUGAGAAAUUAAGAAGUCAGUACCCUUUCUAUAGACUAAAACUAGCUUCAUCAAAUUGUUGGAAUAGAAAUAAGCAAAUGUGUUUGAAAUAUCGAAUGAAAAAACCAGGUCAAUUGGAACUAAACUAAGCAAGUGCAACCAGAAAUCUUCUUGAGAUCAAACUUAAGCCACAAUAAAAUUGUUGCAACCGAAUGAAUAAUUGAGAACAACAUACUAACAUGUGAAUUUCAUCUGUAUGAGAUCUUUUGACGUAAGGGUGGCAUGCAAAAGGAAAUAUGAUUUAAUUAUGUAGAAAGAGAAAUACACUAGAAACAUUUUAGAGAACAAGGAAAUAAGAUAGAUGAGAAAAAAGAUUCUCACGAUUUUAAAAUUUAGAUGGGAAAAUUUGAAUUGUUGAACAUACCUAGUUGAAAUUAAGGAAGGGAGAGUGAUCUAAGAUUCAAUCCAGAAUUCGAGAGAAACCUCCUGGUUACAAAAUUGCAUUAAGAUAGAAAAACGUAAAAUAAACAAAAACUAAAAAGUAAAAAUAAAAGAAUUUGGAACUAAGUUGCGAAUGGGCAUACUUCAACUACCUUUAGAUAUGCGGGGAAUGUGGGCGACGUUGGACCAAUAUUCUCCUCCCUCCUUUAAGUAUCUUUCUUCUAUGGUAGGACAAUCAUAUAUGUCAAGUUCUGCAAGUGUUGCAGGAAGCGGCCCUAAGGAUCGGAGGUUAGGGCAAUUUAUGAUAUGUAAGAAUCGAAGAGAGAUGAGGUUGUGGAGAGCCAAGGAGGCUAGGGAUUCCAUUCCUUUGAUUUUAAGGGAGGUGAGAGAAAUGGGAAGAAGACACUCUUCAUCGGGGAAGGAAACCAUAUUUGGAAACAUGUUCCUAAUAGUCAAUUUAGAAAGAGAGGUGAGGGUGUCGAGGCCCCACUCAGAUAUGGGCGUUUUCAGAUUCUUACAGUUAGCGAUCUCAAGUGAUGUUAGGUUAGGGGCCAAACCCUCUUCCGGAAAGGACUUCAAUCCUGGGCAUUCGGAUAUGGUCAAGCUGCGCAGAGAUUUGAGGUUUCUCAUUUGAUGUGUUAGAGAUUUAAGAGUCUCACAUCCCUCAAUUUCAAGGAAUUCGAGGUUAGGGAUGGACAAGCCUCUUUCUGGAAAGCACUCCAGACCUCCACAAACAUUUAUUCUCAGCUGCCGAAGGCUGUCAAGGCAUCCUUGUAGGCUUUCCAGAUUUGGAUACCACUCAAGUUGUAAAUACUCUAGGGCUGUACUGUUGGGUGCAAUUUUCUGUGACACUGACUCCAAGUUUGUGCAUCGAACAAUAGUAAGUUUCUUGAGAGUAGAGGGUAACUCCCCUGUUGGAAAGGAAUUAAGAGAGGAACAAUUCCUUAUCCACAAAUCUUCAAGACAACAAGUGUUGCUGCUGGAGGUCGAAUUGUGGUGCAUCAGCCCCUCUGGUAGAGACUCAAGACUUUGACAAUCCCAAAUAUAAAGCUUCUUGAGUGUGGUGGGUAGCUCACCAUUUGGGAAGCAUUUGAGAAAUGGAGAACCGUAAAUCGUCAAGACUGCAAGCGGACAUGAGUUGUAGUUAUGAGGCAGCGAUUUUAGACCCCCACAAUAGAACAACUUAAGGCGUCUUAGCAUUGGUGGGAAACCCGAAUCAGGAAAUGACUCUAGUUUGGGGCAACUCCGUAUCUCCAGCUCUUCAAGACGUGUGAGAGUUUGCAAUCCAUUCGACAGCUUCUCCAGAUUAGCACAAUCACGUAUUUCCAAUUUUUUAAGAUUGCAAGGCAGCCAUUGCUCCUCCCACAAACAUGUCAGCCCAUCACAACCGUGUAUCUUCAAUUCUUGCAAGGCUACCAAGGAUCUAGUAAAUCCGGUCCUCAAACAUGCCAAUCUUGAAAUCUGGAUGAGAUUUACAGUAACGAGGGAUGGAAGAUCAAACUGAGCACCUCCCAACACUGCCUCAUCACAUUCUUUUAAAUUUAAUUCACGGAGAGAUGCAAGUUUUGGAAGCCCACACAUCAAUCCCGGACAUUCUAACACUUCAAGCUCUACUAGGGACUGCAGGCAUUUCGGUAAUUCCCCAAUCAGUUUUGGACAUUUCCUUAUCAAAAACUUUUCAAGAUGGGGAAAUGUUCCCACAUCUUCCUUAAUGAGAUUAGAAUGAGACCAACUUUCCCAUUCUGGCAUAUCCUCAAACCUCAACUCCUUCAAAGAUGCAAAAGGAUUCAUACUCUCUCCAUAAAAUUCAGCACCUAUGCUUUUAACUUCGCUCAUACCUUCAAUACACAAAACCUUGAGCAUCGAUAGCCCACCCAGAUUUGGUAAUAACGUGCAUUUUUUGCAAUUUUUGAGAGUUAGUUCCACCGUUACUGAGAAUGAGGGAUCUCCUAACCAACUUGGAAAUUUGGAUCCACCAUAAAAUGCAAUUGUGAGCCUUCUUAAAUUUUCACGAGGCUGCAAGGACUCCAAGACACGUAAUUCACGUUUAUCGUUUCGUGCAUCCCAACAGUCAUUACUCCACUGCAUCGUCAACUCUUCAAUUUUUUUUUUAUCUUUUAAAUUAGCAGCUCUUGCCUCUCCAACAUCCACUACCUCUUGCAACCCAGAAAUAGAAAGCACUCCUUGGAGGUUCGAACAAUUCUUGAGUUCUUCAAUUCCGACCCCUCUACUUUUGCUCACAAUGAACCUAGUCAACACUUGCAAAUUUGUGAGGUUGCUUAAUUGGAAAGGCAUUUCUAGUUGUUGACUUGUACCCGUAAUAUCAAGGUGCCGAAGGUUUUUCAGCUUUCCAAUCCCUGUAGGCAAUUUGGUAAGUUGACGACAACCACGUAAUAUCAACGUUUGUAAAUUAUAAAGAUGGCCCACUGAAUUAGGUAGACUUUGUAUAUUAGAUUCGGAAAAAUUGAGAUAACGCAGAUGUAUUAACUCACCAAUCGAACUUGGUACUUCACCCAUGCAAUAACCAGCCAAAGAUAGUACCCUUAAGCAUCUCAUUGGCAUUAUUAGGUCAUGUACCACCUGCUUAGAUAUAUAUCCAAAUGGAUACUUCAUGAUUGAUAAUACUAUUAACGUGCGUAGGUUCUUCACUUUAUCAAAGGCUUUAAAUUUUCCAACAACCUCGUAAACUUGCCGAGUGAAACCUGAAUGACGAGCUCUUUCACAAAUAGUAUGUUGCUGAUUAUUUUCAAUUUUUUCCUCCAAAUUAAAACAUACACCUCCAGCAACGAAUUGAGCAAGAUCAUGAACAAGAUCAUGCAUCACAAAUUGUGAUGAACUAUGAUUUGAUUGUUGGAAAAAUGACCUUGCAAAUAAUUCAUGAAAGAAUUCGGUGCCUAUCUCCUCCAUUUGCUUCUGUCUAUUUACUUGAUGCAAGAAUCCCUCUCCCAUCCACAGCAAGACUAAUUCAUCCACAUCGAAUUCGUAGUCCUUCGGAAAUAUAGAGCAAUAAGCAAAGCAGCACUUCAAAUGUGAAGGAAGAUGAUGAUAACUCAAUUUGAGAGCUGGAAGAAUAGUGUUAUUCUCUUGAUCUGGUAAGUCCCAUAUCUUGCUUUUCAGUAUAUCCUCCCACGCAUCACGAUUCAGUUUUGUGCGCAACAUUCCUCCCAAGGCCUUUGCAGCCAAAGGUAGCCCUUUGCACUUUUUCACUAUUUCUUCACCAACAACUCUCAGGUGUGGAUGAUUAUGGAAGUUUCUUGUACCUAAUGCUUGCUGGGCAAGCAAAGACAAGCACUCAUCAUUGGAUAACUCCUUGAGGGGAUAGGCUGAGCUGGCUCCGAUGGCUGAUACAACCCCUUGAUUACGAGUUGUGACAAUAACCCUGCUGCCUUGUGCUCCAGUCCUCAUUGGAGCGUACAAAGUAUCCCAUUUAUCACAAUUCUGAUUCCAAACAUCGUCUAAAACAAGAAGAAACUUUGUUCCAGAGAGUUUCUCUUUCAGUUUGACUUGAAGCAGGUUGAGAUCGUUGAAAUCGGACAUAUCAGAAGCAACAGACUGAACAAUUGUCUUUGUUACCCUCAAGACAUCAAAAUCAUCAGAGACACAAGCCCAAACUCUUAGAUCAAAAUGACUCUCCACUUUGUCAUCGUUGUAGGCAAGCUGAGCAAGAGUAGUUUUGCCCACGCCUCCCAUGCCAAUUAUGGGAAUGACACGGACUGCGUCAUCACUUGGCUCAUGAUCGUGGAGCAACAAGUCGAGUAUGGCUGCUUUAUCGGUUUCCCUACCACAAACACGCGAUUCAUCUACCAAAGAAGUGGUGGGUAGUAUUUCUGUUGCUUUGGCGGACCUUUUCCCGGUAACUUUUUCAGUUAAAAGGAGAUUAUUUUGCUGUGAAGAAAUAUCUUGCAACCUUUCAGUGAUCUUCUCUAUCUUGGACCUCAUCUUAACAUUGAACUUAAUAGCACUUGGAGUGAAGCUAGUACAACAAGAAGGGAUAAGGCUCCGGAACUUACUUGUACUGGGUUGAGUUUCCGCCAUCAACUUCCGCCCCAAAGCUUCAGUGGCCAAUUCGUCCAGGAUGUCCUCCACAUCAUAAGCCAAGUCUCUGAGGUCGUCGAGCCAUAUCUUCACCACUUGGUUUUCCAUCUGCUUCUCCUCCGCAUCCUCCAGCACGGCAUGAAUUUUCUUCAGUGUUUUCUCCCACUUGUUGAGCUCAGCAUGAACUUGCACUUGGCGAGCAUAAUCGAGCAGGUCAGAAGAGAUCAACUCGUCCAACAGAGUCUUAAAGAAAGAAGAGAGAAAAGCCUCUCCAACAAAAGCCAUGGAAGCAAGUACGAGAAAUCAAAGGCAGAGAAACGACUCAGAAUCAGAACAGCACAAGUAGAAAGUCAGACAAGGUUGGUUAUGGAGCAAUUAUAGAUUACAAUGUCAUUCCUCUUUGACCACACCCAUAUUCAUCACUUUGUACGGUUGAGAUCCUCCAAUCAAAUUGUGAUUAUAAUCACAUAUUUGAUGUUAGCACACUGUAUUAAGAUUCCCUUUUAUUAAUCUAAUGAUACUUAACAACUCCUGCAAUUGAUCUUUUAUUAAUACUCAUCACAUUAAUUAAAAAUUCAUCUAAAAUGUAAGGAAUCUCCAGCAAAUUUCUUGACGUGUGUAUGCAUAUUUUUAUAUUGCAAGUGGGUUUCCCACUCUAUAUUUUAGAUUAAUCUUAACAGCUGCCCUUUGUCCCCAUCUAAUUUGGAUCAGGAAUAUUGUCGGCCAACCAGAAAACUAUCUGUUUUUUACUCUUCAGAACAGAAAAUAGAUUUUUUUUUUAUUGUUUUCAUUUAUUUUUGAAUGCUAUUUUAAAAAAAUAAUUAUACGAAUAUGCAAAAUAAUUAAAAAUAAAACAUUAGAUGUAGAAAUUAUUUUUAAAACAUAUUUAAAAAUAUUAAAAAUAUUUUAGAUUUUCAAAUUGACUUUUAUUCUAUAAAACCGUUUAAAAAAAUUAUUCUAAAAAGCCGUUUUUCAUAACUAUUUUAAAAAACAAUUACUAAAGAAAACAUUAGUGCCUCUUUUCUAAGAAAAAAGAAUUGAAACUCAUUUUAAUUCUAAAUUUAUUAAUUUUUAUUUAAUAAAACUACCUAGUUAACUCCUAGAAAAAACAAAUUUUAAUUUUGAUUUUGAAUCUCACGCUUGAUUUUGAUUUGUUUAAUUUAUUAGGGUUCACCAAUUCGUGGAGUGCGAGUAAGGACGAAAACAUCGGGAUAUAUCGGCAAUAUAUCGGAAAAGGUGGAUGCAAUAUAUAGGUAAAAUAUAUUAUCCGAUAGAAAUAUCUUGAUGAUAUAUCGGUAAUCAUAGAUAUAUCGACAAUACAAGCAAAAUAUCCGCCUUAAAUGAAAAAAUAUUUAAAAUUUUGAAAAUAUAUUAAAUAUAUAGAGAUAUAUCGGUGAAAAAUCGAUUAAAAAAAUUAAAUUAUUAUAAAUAAGUUAAUUUUAAUUAUAUUAUAAUUUAUUUUAUAUACUAAGUAAAUAUAAAACAAAUACAAAAUCAUAAAUAUUUUAUGUGAAAACGUACCAAUAUUUUUAAAUAAAAAUCAUAAAUACAUUUAAAUCACAUAAUCAGUAUAGUUGCAACAAUUUAGUUUUAAAUUAAUAAUUUUAUUUUAUUUUGAUAUUCAAGUAUAAUAAUAAUAUAUUGAGAAUAAAUUUACUUAGUAUAUUUUUAAAUUAAUACAAUACUAAAUUUAAAUUAGUAUAUUUUUAUAAUUAAUUAAUAUAUUUUCAAUAGAUGUAAGUAAAUUAACUUAAUAUAGUAAUAUAUUUAAAUCACAUAAUUAAUAUAUUUAUAAUAAUUUAACUUCAUAAUAAGUAUACACUUACAAAAUUUACUUUUCUUAUUGACCAACACGAUAUAAUUAAAUUUAAUAUCCCAAAUUAUAUAUAUGUCAUUUCUUUCAACAAAACAAUUUUAAAAUGUGUAUUAUACUUUUAAUUUCAUUUUUAAGAGUUUUUUCUCAUAUUUUUAUAAGUUUUGAUUAAUUUUUGAUCUAUCGAUAUUUUGUGUCAAAAUAUCUAUCGAUAUUUUGUGUCAAAAUAUCUAUCGAUAUAACUCCGAUAUAUUCAUAAAAUUUCAUUAUCAAUAUAUUCGUGAUUACUGAUAUUUUCAUUUUUGAGUGUGAGACAUUUAAUAAAUUAGUCUCCAACUUGUUGGUAAUAGCAUGGAGUUGUUGGGGGUGAGGUCCAGACCGGGUGUAAAGAAGAAUUUGCAUUAUUGGUAGUAGUUGCAUUUGUGGUGUUUGAAAUAAGAGAAAAUAAAAGAAAAGAAAAUGGUUUUUGUAAUACAAACUGUACACUAGAAUAUCCAUGUUAUUAUUUAAUAACAUUGCUUAAAAUUAUUCAGAAGUCAUCAAACAUGUAGGCUAUGUUUGGUUGUGAAAAAUUUGAGUGAAAAAAAUUGAGGAAAGUGGAAGGAAAUAAAAAAAGUAAAGAAAAAAAAUAGAUUAAAAAAUAAUAAAUUAUUUUUAUAUGUUUAUUUAAACUCGUUUAAUUUAUUUUUCUCCAUUGUAUCUGUUCGCGGUGCAACAUAUAUGGUGAAGAAAAAUUAUAAGAUUUUUUACGAUUAUGAUGUUUUAUGUCUAUGCGGUAGUUGCUUGCUUUUCUCUCCUCUUCUCUCCCCUUCUCUCAUUUUGUACUAAUUUUUGACAUAGUGAAUUUUCUUCUCCUUCACUUAUAGUUUUUUUCAUUUUUUUUUACGUAAAUUUGUGUGUUUUUAUUUUAUUUUUCUUCAUAUUAUCUAUCAUCAUUUUUUCGUAACAAUAUUAAGAUUAAAUAAUUUCAAUUUACAUAAAUUUCUAAGUAAUUUUAAUUAUAUUUUAUUUUCUUUCAUAUUUUUCAUAGUAAAACUAAACAUAAGAGAACUAUUUUUCUUAGCAUUUUUUUUUUUCUUAAUAUUUUCUGGUAACAAAAUAUAGUUGUAGCCUUAUUUAAGUGUUUUUCUAUUGUACUAACUAUAUACUAAUUUUUUUAUCAAAAUUGAAUUUCACCUGGAAAUGGUUUGAUACACCUCAUUUCUAAACUAACAUAUAAAUAAUAUAUAUAUAUAUAUAUAAUUUUUCUUUUCAAAAAAAAAAAGAGAAAAGAAAACCUAUUUUAACUAAUCUAACCUCAAAUUAAUUCCAUGACAUUACACAUUUUUUUAAGUUAAUCAUUAUAAGUGAUUUCGUUUACAUAUUUUAAUGACAAAAUUUGUUUAAAGUACAAUAUUGUACAAAGUAAAUGUAGAAAAAAAAAAGCCUUAAAAAACAUAAGAAGUGACUUCUGCCAAAAGUAAAAGAAAAAAUAUUAAAAAAAAGAAGAAUAUGUUUUCAUGUUUUAUUUUAUUAUAAGAAAUAUAAAAGAAAUCAAACAAAAUUAAAAUUAGCCAAAAUUUUAUAUAUUUUAAAAUUAUUUAAUCUUUAUAUAUGAGAAUUAAAGCAAGUGAAAUGAGUUGAAGUAGCUUUUUUAUUUUUCUUUUCUUAUGAUUUUCCUUUCUAUUUUUUUCUUCCAUUUUUCUUCAAAUUUUCUGAAUCCAAACAUAACCUAAAAGUUUAAGAAUAUCAAGAGCUAACAUGAGAUGUGGAAUUGACCAAUUCAAAAUUAUUUUGGCAUGCUUGAUAGAACUAUUGUCCAUUUGGGGAAGUUUCUUCUUCUAUAGAAUUCGCCUAUAAACUUUUUCAGAUUUCUACAAGUUCAUAGCAAUUCAAGCACAUUUAUACCAUUCCCUUCAUUUUACAAAUAAUCAAAAUCACUUUUUCAUUCUACCAUUUACUCUUUAAUGUUCUCCUUUCUCUUUACAUUAAUAUCCAUCGUAUCUCUAAAAUUUUCUAUAACCUUGAAAGAGCAGAUAUCCCCAAAGCAACUAUGAGCUUUUUUAGAUUUCUAUGAGGUCGUAGUAACUCAAGCACAUUCAUAUGGUUCCCUUCAUUUUGAAAAUCCUCAAAAUCACUUUGUCAUUCCAUCAUUAACUUUUCAAUGUUCUCCUUUCUCUUUAAAUUAGUAUCCAUCAAUCAGAUCUCCUCCACAUUAUUAAAAUAUUUAGGCUCCAUUUCUUGCAUGACGUUCCAAGGAGGCUAGGGACUCCAUCAUCCAGAUUCCAAGACAGGUGAGAGAUGUAAGAAGAAGACACUCAUCAUUUGAAAGGAAACCAUUUAUGAGAGAACAUCUCAAAUGCACAAUGACGAAAUAAGCUUGGGACUUAUGUGUUAACAAAAAAGUAUUUUAUUCAUUUUUUAUACAUUAUUUUCAAUAGAAAAUAGUUCUCAUUUUCAUUUUCAAACAGGUUCUAGAACUUCUAACUUUUCUCUCACUAGCCUAAGUAACUUAAGCAACAUUGAAAAGACAUCUAUAUUUUGGGGUUAAGCUUCCAAUUGCGUUGAUUAAUGGAGUUGAAGUUUUGGCUGCACCUAGACAUGUAUGUUUAUGGUUUCAUUUUAAGUUGUGUCAUCAGCCCCUCAUCCUCUAAGACAAAAAAGUUUAUGACACAAGAAAUGGGCAUUCGUGAAAGCAAUGAAAUUAAAGGUACAACAAGAUUUACGCAAAAAACCCUCCAAUAAUGAGGGAAAAUCCAUGGGCCAGUAUAGAAAUAAUCCUCUAUGGUAAAAAGGAUAUUAUAGUAUCCUCACAAAUUUCUUUUUAAAAAGAAAGGAAAAAAACUCAAGGUAUUACAACUUUUAAGAAAAUAAAAAUGUUCAAAUCACCAUACCAGAGAACCAAAUCCUAUAGAAACAUCUGCUACUAAUGUCUAAGGAGAAAACAAGCUUCACAUUUCUUACAUUCUACACUAAGCACCAAAACCAAAGAUGGUUGAUUUUGCUUCAGCGACUACAAAUGUAAAAGCACAACAUUGAUGUCCUUAAGUUGAGUUCUUCUUGGAGAGCCAAAAGCGUCAAAAUUCCUUUCAUUUUUAUGCCAUCAACUAGCAGAAAAGUCAUGGUAUGGCAAAUCCAUCGAGCUUCCACCACCUACCACCUUACAUUCAGGAAGUACCAAAAAAAGGGAAAAAAGGGUUAGCCCAAUUGAAUAGAAUUUGCCUAACAAAGCAUUGUAAGUGUGAUCAUUGCCCCCAAUGUGAAAUGCUCCUCAACACUUACGUACACAAACAAUGAACUAUAAAAGUACUCAUUGAAAUUCUAAUUAAGAAGCACUUGAGCUGGUGGAAGAAAUACAAUGGCAUGAAAAUUAUGACUUACACAACAAAGAAACCUAUGAAUUCUAUUCAACAAACAAAAAGGAAAACCAUCAACUAUGAUUGAGUCAAUAACAUACCGUCAUACAUUUGUUAGGAACUUAGUCUGCCACUGCAUUAUUUUUCUCCCUCCUACAUGUAGAAAAGAAGUUUCUAUUAAUUAUAGAAGUGGAUAUUUAGACCAAGGAAAAACAGACUUAAGCAUCGGUGGUUAGUCAAGCAUACCUGGGUGAAGGAAAGAAUGAUCCAUCUCUCAACUUCUAGAGUAGGAAUAACACAACUCAAUUUAAAUUCAUAUUUCCAAUGAGGUCAUGUUGCUGAAUGUUGGAGAUGUAGGCAAUACUGAUCCAAACUUUCUCCUUUCUCUUUUAAGCAAUUUUGUCUCACAACAGGAAAAUUCUGGAUUUCAAGCACUAGGUGUUGUGUUCAGCUCUUUCUUCAGCAGUAGGGACCAAAGCUUAGCACAACUUAAGAUGAAUAGCACUUGAAGAAACUUUCAGCAAAAAUUAAGCUAACCUGAAGUUAGAGAAACAAGCAGAAUGAAUUUUUUAUCCGUAAAGGCCUGGUGCACCAGUGCCACUCAUAGAGAGGCGUCUCAAGCUUCCCACAAUUGAACCCAAACUAAACAAUGGGGCCAAACCCCUUUCCAUAAAUUACGGAACACCUGAACAAUCAAGGAUCAACCUUGGUAAUGAACGUAAAAAUGGAAAAGAAAAAAUUAAUGAACAAAAUUAAAAUAUUAAAAAAAUAAAAAGAAAAAGGGAAAAACCUUGAGUUGUGAUGAGUUUUGAAAUGCACCUUUUGUCUUUCUACAUGUGCAGAAAAAUUAGGGAGUUAAGAUUAUUAUUAUGAUGUUAAUGGAAUUAUGGGAGUAACUUAUUAAUGGGUUGGUCUCCGCUUCCAUUUUUGUGAUUGAAAAAUAAAAUCCAAUUUGAAAUUGAUUCAUGUGUUAAAAACCUAGCUUUUCCCUCUACAUAGGGAUGUGAAAAUCUUAGGUCAAUCAUAUUUACAUGUUAAUUUAAAUAUUUGAGAAAUUAAGAAGCCAGUACCAUUUCUAUGGACAAAAACCAGCUUCAUCAAAUUGUUGGAAUAGAAAUAAGCAAAUGUGUUUGAAAUAUUGAAUGAAGAAACCAGGUCAAUUGGAACUAAACUAAGCAAGUGCAACCAGAAAUCUUCUUAAGAUCAAACUUAAGCCACAAUAAAAUUGUUGCAAUCGAAUGAAUAAUUGAGAACAACAUACUAGCAUGUGAAUAAAGGGUGUUGACUCGAAUUUCAUCUACCUCUUCUAUACUUCUUACAUACAACAAUAUGAGGUCUGUUAGCUUAAGGGUGCCAUGCAAAAGGAAAUAUGAUUUAAUCAUGUAGAAAGAGAAACAUUUUAGAGAACAAGGAAAUAAGAUAGAUGAGAAAAGAAGAUUCUCACAAUUUUAAAAUUUAGAUGAGAAAAUUUGAAUCGUUGAAAUCAAGGAAGGUCAAGUCAUCUAUGAUUCCAUCCAGCAUCCAAUCUACAAUGUCAUAUCCUGGUUACAAAAUUGCAUUAGGAUAGAAAAAUGUAAAAUAAACAAAAACUCAAAAGUAAAAAUAAAAGAAAUUGGAACCAAGUUGCAAAUGGGCGUACUUUGAAUGCCUUCAUAAAUGCAGGGGAUGUGGGCGACGUUAGACCAAUAUUCUCCUCCCUCUUUUAAGUAUCUUUCUUCUAUGGUAGGACAACCAGAGAUGAAAAGUUCUUCAAGUGUUGCAGGAAGCGGCCCUAAGGACCAGAGGUUAGGGCAAUUUGAGAUAUCUAGGGAUCGAAGAGAGAUGAGGUUGCAGAGAGCCAAGGAGGCUAAGGAUUCCAUUCCAUCGAUAUAAAGGCGGGUGAGAGAAAAGAGAAGACGACUCUCUUUAACCGGAAAGGAAACCAUAUCUGGAAACAUUUCCCUAAUAAUCAAAUGAGAAAGAGUGGUCAGGGUGUCGAAGCCCCACUCAGAUAUGGGCGUUUUCAGAUUCUUACAGUUAUUGAUCCCAAGUGAUGCUAGGUUAGGGGCCAAACCCUCUUUCGGAAAGGACUCCAAUCCUAGGCAUUCGGAUAUGGUCAAGCUGCGCAGAGAUUUGAGGUUUCUCAUUUGAUGUGUUAGAGAUUUAAGAUUCUCACAUCCCUCAAUUUUAAGGUAUUCGAGGUUAGGGAUGGACAAGCCUCUUUCUGGAAAGCACUCCAGACCUCCACAAUCGUUUAUGACGAGCUUCCGAAGGCUGUCAAGGCAUCCUUGUAGGCUUUUCAGAUUUGGAUACUCCAUAAGUUGUAAAUACUCUAGGGCUGUACUGUUGGGUGACAUUUUCUCUGACACUGACUCCAAGUUUGUGCAUCUGGUUAUAGAAAGUUUCUUGAGAGUGAAGGGUAACUCCCCUGUUGGAAAGGAAUUGAGAGAGGAACAAUUAUCUAUUAACAAUGUUUCAAGACAACAAGUGUUGCUGCUGGAGGUUGAAUUGUGGUGCAUCAGCCCCUCUGGUAGAGACUCUAGACUUAGACAAUUUCUAAUACGAAGGUUCUUGAGUGUGGUGGGUAGCUCACCAUUUGGGAAGCAUUUGAGAAAUGGAGAACACUCAAUCGUCAAGACUUCAAGCGGACACGAGCUGUAGUUAUGAGGCAGCGAUUUUAGACCCUCACAAUAGAACAACUCUAGGCGUCUUAGCAUUGGUGGGAAACCCGAAUCAGGAAAUGACUCUAGUUUGGGGCAACUCCAUAUCUCCAGCUCUUCAAGACGUGUGAGAGUUUGCAAUCCAUUCGACAGCUUCUCCAGAUUAGCACAAUCACGUAUUUCCAAUUUUUUAAGAUUGCAAGGCAGCCAUUGCUCCUCCCACAAACAUGUCAGCCCAUCACAAUUGUAUAUCCGCAAUUCUUGCAAGGCUACCAAGGAUCUAGUAAAUCCGGUCCUCAAACAUGUCAAUCUUGAAAUCUGGAUGAGAUUUACAGUAACGAGGGAUGGAAGAUCAAACUGAGCACCUCCCAACACUGCCUCAUCGCAUUCUUUUAAAGUUAAUUCACGGAGAGAUGCAAGUUUUGGAAGCCCACACAUCAAUCCCGGACAUUCUAACACUUCAAGCUCUACUAGGGACUGCAGGCAUUUCGGCAAUUCCCCAAUCAGUUUUGGACAUUUCCUCAUAAAAAACUUUUCAAGAUGGGGAAAUGUUCCCACAUUUUCCUUGAUGAAAUUAGAAUGAGACCAAUUUUCCCAUUCUGGCAUAUCCUUAAACCUCAACUCCUUCAAAGAUGCAAAAGGAUUCAUACUCUCUCCAUAAAAUUCAGCACCUAUGCUUUUAACUUGGCUCAUACCUUCAAUACACAAAACCUUGAGCACCGAUAGUCCACCCAGAUUUGGUAAUAACAUGCAUUUUUGGCAAUUUUUGAGAGUUAGUUCCACCAUUACUGAGAAUGAGGGAUCUCCUAACCAACUUGGAAAUUUGGAUCCACCAUAAAAUGCAAUUGUGAGCCUUUUUAAAUUUUCACGAGGCUGCAAGGACUCCAAGACAUGCAGUUCACAUAUAUCGUUUCGUACAUCCCAAGAAUCAUUACUCCACUGCAUCGUCAACUCUUCAAUUUUUUUUUUAUCUUUUAAAUUAGGAGCUCUUGCCUCUCCAACAUCCACUACCUCUUGCAAACUAGAAAUAGAAAGCACUCCUUGGAGGUUCGAACAAUUCUUGAGUUCGUCAAUUCCAACCCCUCUACUUUUGCUCACAAUGAACCUAGUCAACACUUGCAAAUUUGUGAGGUUGCUAAAUUGGAAAGGCAUUUCUCGUAGUCGACUUGUACGUGUAAUAUCAAGGUGCCGAAGGUUUUUCAGCUUUCCAAUCCCUAUAGGCAAUUCGGUAAGUUCAUGACAACCACGUAAUAUCAACGUUUGUAAAUUAUAAAGAUGACCCACUGAAUUAGGUAGACUUUGU
rnacentral:lncRNA from 1 species